rnacentral:lncRNA from 1 species
AUUCUAAUAGAAUACUAAUAAUACUCUAAUUAGACCAUAAUAAUGCUAAGCAAGUUUAAUCAAAUUCAAAAAAAUCUCAAAGAAAUUUCAAACAAACAAUAAGAAUUCUUAAAGAAAUAUUAGAAGGAUCACAAAUGUCACUCAAAUACAUCUCAAUUCAAUUUUAAUUUAAUUCUAGUUAAAAUCCUAUUGAACUUCAUUCAAACUUUAGGCCAAAAUUAAUUAAAUCUUAAACUCUAAACAAAUCCUAAUAUAAUCCUAAUCCAAACCCUAAUCAUAUCCUAAAUCCAAAUCCUAAAUCCUAAACAAAUCCUAAUCAAAUCCUAAAUCCAAAUCCUAAAUCCUAAACCAAAUCCUAAUCAAAUCCUAAAUCCUAAAUCAAACCCUAAUCAAAUCUUAAAUCCUAAAUCAAAUCCUAAAUAAAUCCUAACCAAACUCUAAUCCAAACCCUAAAUCCUAAACCAAAUCCUAAAUAAAAUCCUAAAAAAAUCCUAAA